UACGGAGGAUUCAAGCGUUAUCCGGAUUUAUUGGGUUUAAAGGGUGCGUAGGCGGUCGGAUAAGUUAGAGGUGAAAUCCCGGGGCUCAACUUCGGAAUUGUCUCUGAUACUGUUCGGCUAGAGAGUAGUUGCGGUAGGCGGAAUGUAUGGUGUAGCGGUGAAAUGCUUAGAGAUCAUACAGAACACCGAUUGCGAAGGCAGCUUACCAAGCUACUUCUGACGUUGAGGCACGAAAGCGUGGGGAGCAAACAGG
rnacentral:rRNA from 1 species